GAUGAACGCUGGCGGCGUGCCUAAUACAUGCAAGUCGAGCGAACAGAUGAGGAGCUUGCUCCUCUGACGUUAGCGGCGGACGGGUGAGUAACACGUGGAUAACCUACCUAUAAGACUGGGAUAACUCCGGGAAACCGGAGCUAAUACCGGAUAAUAUAUUGAACCGCAUGGUUCAAUAGUGAAAGACGGUUUUGCUGUCACUUAUAGAUGGAUCCGCGCCGCAUUAGCUAGUUGGUAAGGUAACGGCUUACCAAGGCAACGAUGCGUAGCCGACCUGAGAGGGUGAUCGGCCACACUGGAACUGAGACACGGUCCAGACUCCUACGGGAGGCAGCAGUAGGGAAUCUUCCGCAAUGGGCGAAAGCCUGACGGAGCAACGCCGCGUGAGUGAUGAAGGUCUUCGGAUCGUAAAACUCUGUUAUUAGGGAAGAACAAAUGUGUAAGUAACUAUGCACGUCUUGACGGUACCUAAUCAGAAAGCCACGGCUAACUACGUG
rnacentral:rRNA from 1 species